AAAUAAACAUAUUUUAUUUUAUUUAGAGAAACAUCUGUUGGAAAGUGGAAAGUUUUAUUAGGCUUAAAUUAACUGAAAAUGUGUUAGACCAGCUUUAUUCUCGAAUGGAUUACAACUAUAAAUAGCUUGUAAGUGGUGAAGAACUUGUAAUCUUUUCAAAAUGAUCAAGCAAUAAUAAUUGCAAGGUAUCGUUGAGUAAAAGACUGAAGCAAUUUUAUUGUGUGAGAGGCGUACCCAACCAUCGUCGUGCCUUUUCAACGAUAUUGUUAUCUGUUGAAGGGUUUGCUCUAAUCCUAUGCCCGAUAAAGGUUGAAGCCGCGGAGCAAAGCUACAGCACCUCCGUCUUAUGUAUGGUGAACUUGGUGCUGCUGGAAACCAAGCUUAUUGAGAAUCUAAGCAGCUAUGCGGAUGAGCUCUAGAAGAAAUUGAAUAUCUUGAAAAGGGUCAUUCCACAAUUGCAAGGCUUGCACCGGCUGUAUGAUUUUUACAACUUGACUGUGAAGGAUAUUGCCAGCGGGCUGCUGAACGGGAGGCAAUACGACGCCAGUCUAGGAGCCUUGGAUACCUACGCGAUGGGCCAGUACCUGGACCAGAUUCAAAUUCGUGAUUUGGCCAGCGAGUGGCUUGCGGAGACAAGCUAGUCGCUAAUGGAGCACACACUCCCAAUACCAAUGGGAGCCGAACGUGAACAAGUGCUGCAAAUCUUUGCCAGGGCAUUUAUCAAACAGAAGGAUUACACAAUCGCGCUGCCCCUCUUUGACCACGCUCUGAUGAAGGGCAACAAAACAGACAAUGCAGAUCUGUUAAGUGAAAGGGCUCAAAUCGAGGC